rnacentral:rRNA from 1 species
AUUGAACGCUGGCGGCAUGCCUUACACAUGCAAGUCGAACGGCAGCACGGGUGCUUGCACCUGGUGGCGAGUGGCGAACGGGUGAGCAAUAUAUCGGAACAUACCCUAGAGUGGGGGAUAACGUAGCGAAAGUUACGCUAAUACCGCAUACGAACUAAGGUUGAAAGUGGGGGAUCGCAAGACCUCAUGCUCAUGGAGUGGCCGAUAUCUGAUUAGCUAGUUGGUGAGGUAAAGGCUCACCAAGGCGACGAUCAGUAGCUGGUUUGAGAGAACGACCAGCCACACUGGAACUGAGACACGGUCCAGACUCCUACGGGAGGCAGCAGUGGGGAAUUUUGGACAAUGGGGGCAACCCUGAUCCAGCAGUGCCGCGUGAGUGAAGAAGGCCCUCGGGUUGUAAAGCUCUUUUGUCAGGGAAGAAACGGUCUACUCUAAUACAGUGGGCUAAUGACGGUACCUGAAGAAUAAGCACCGGCUAACUACGUGCCAGCCGCCGCCGUAA